rnacentral:rRNA from 1 species
UACAGAGGGUGCAAGCGUUAAUCGGAAUUACUGGGCGUAAAGCGUGCGUAGACGGUUGCGUAAGUCAGAUUUGAAAGCCCCGGGCUCAACCUGGGAAUUGCAUUUGAGACUGCGUAGCUAGGGUGCGGAAGAGGGAAGCGGAAUUUCCGGUGUAGCGGUGAAAUGCGUAGAUAUCGGAAGGAACACCAGUGGCGAAAGCGGCUUCCUGGUCCAGCACCGACGUUCAGGCACGAAAGCGUGGGGAGCAAACAGG